rnacentral:rRNA from 1 species
UACGUAGGGUGCAAGCGUUAAUCGGAAUUACUGGGCGUAAAGCGUGCGCAGGCGGUUUUGUAAGUCUGACGUGAAAUCCCCCGGGCUCAACCUGGGAAUUGCGUUGGAGACUGCAAGGCUAGAGUUUGGCAGAGGGGGGUAGAAUUCCACGUGUAGCAGUGAAAUGCGUAGAUAUGUGGAGGAACACCGAUGGCGAAGGCAGCCCCCUGGGUCAACACUGACGCUCAGGCACGAAAGCGUGGGGAGCAAACAGG